rnacentral:lncRNA from 1 species
UGAAAGAAGCAUGUCAUCAAGGCAUAUGUACAUAUACAUGCAGAAUAUAGUGGACGAGCCGGCAAGGCUACUAUAGACAACUAUACAUCAAAAACUGAAAGCCAACAAGGCCACAUACAACCCAACUAGACAUACUGUCUACAGACCUCUAACAGGAAAAUAACUGUACAAAGACGGUACUGAGCAACGUCGUACCCGUAUACAUAUAUAUGUACAAACAUAUCGUACCAAUAUCAAAAGCAGCUCCGGAUCAAAUGGAGCACGCAAACUCUCGCUAAAUCAGGGGGCCGUCAACUUGUCUACCUGCACCUGCGGGUAUGAUACGUAGCAUCCACAAGUAAAAGGGACGUCAUUACAAAAAAUGAACUGAGUAUGUAAGGCACAUAAAUAAAUACAUAAGAGAUAUGGAAGACAUAUAGAGUACAUGACUCAAUCUGUAAUUCUGAAUCACUCGGUAAAUCAUAAAUUACUUUUAGCGUCAUGCGUAUGCGUAUGAAUGUCAUGUCGUGCAUAGGUAGAUGUUUCAUAAUAUCAUCAGCCUCUGAGGGGUAUUCCAUCAUAUCAUAUCGGCCACUGCGGGCAAAAUCAUCAUCGUAUACCAGCUGAUCAGGCGGUAAUGCGUAUAUAAUGCCAUAACCUUUCCCAUAUCCCAUACACACACACACUUACACACACACACACACGUAUAUAUAUAUAUAUAUNNNNNNNNNNNNNNNNNNNNNNNNNNNNNNNNNNNNNNNNNNNNNNNNNNNNNNNNNUAUAUAUAUAUAUACAUACAUACAUACAUACGCAUAUGUAACACCGUUUGAUUCAUAUUUCAGUCACUGUGGGCAACAUCAUCAUCAUAUUCCAGCUGAUCAGGUAGUGGUGCGUAUAUAAUGCCGUAACCUUUUUUCAUAUUCCAUAUACAUAUAUUUACAUGUAUACGCGUAUAUAACGCCAUAUGGUCAUGGGUCAAUGCACAUGUAUAAAUGAGUAAAAUGCAUGAAAAAUACAUAGUAAUCUCGAUAUUCCUUCCGGAUAAUAUUUUCCAACUGCAUAUUAUUCUGAGACCCAUGAAUAGAAGAUAAUAAUAAUUCUCAUGGGGAAUUAAGAAUAUAGACACCCCUAAUAUUUCUAUGAAUAGAAUAAUUUAUAAAAACCGUAUAUUUGCGUGUUUCUUUCGUAUAAUCUGGACCAUGCCAAAAGAAAGAAGGGAGGACUGGUAUGUUCCUGUGAAAUUCUUGAACAGAACUUAUAUUUGGAUUUGAAAUUGGAACGAGUUCUUGACAGAAUAAUAUGUAAUCAGAAGAAGUUCUUGUAUUGGGAAAAAACUGAAGUUGAAUUAAAGAUGAUAUGGCAUGACACGUGGACUGGUCAAAUAGUCAAAGAGCAAUAAAUGAUUAAAAGGAACGGAAGAUAACAUGCAUAGGAGGACAAAAGAAAAUAGACACGAGAGGGAGUCUCAGAUACGAGUCUCGUAUCUAUUUUAGUCAUUUAAUACCAACGGAUAAAAAGGGGACUGAAGACAAGAAUCAGAUGACAAAAAGUAGUAUAUUUUCAUUAUUAAAUACUUGACGUUAGUUAAUCAGUAUUUUAUACCAAUGAUUGUGUAACGUCUCAUUAAAUGCUCUUUAUUAUUUAGACCAAGCCUUUUCUCCUAGACAACUAUAAAAGGAGGAUGUUUCAUUAUUUGUAAACACACAGAACAUUCUUGACAUCAUACUGAAAUACUAAAUUGUUAUCGCUUUAUUUUUAUUCUUUGAAAGCCUAUUGGUCUCCAGAUUAUUAGUAACCCGAUUUCUUUUCUCUAAAUUCAAGCUUUGACCAAAUUAUAUUUUACUUUUUUUGGUUAAACAAAUUAGUUCCGUUACCGAGAAUCUGUUAAUCCAUUCUUUCUGAAAUAACAUUCAACCAAUUGCUAGUAUGUCAAACAACAACUACAACAAUAACCAGGAAAAUCAGAUCCAUCAAGGGGAUAAUGAUGAACUCAACAACGUUAACCCUCAAGCUUCUCCACGUGUAUCUCGUGAAGGAACUCCAAAUGAUAUGUCUGAACAUGUUGACGGAGGAGCUGAAAGAAGAGAUGAACUUUUAAAGAAAAUAAUCGACUCACGAAUUGACAAAGCCUUGCAAGCUUUAGUUAAUCGAUUGCCUGUUGCAACAGCAAUGCCAAACAACAACACGUUGGAAAACCCCUGCUCUGGUCUAGUUAAUUAUGGCAAUGGAGCAACUACCAGUGACUCGCAAGAAGGGGAACCAGGUAAUGAAUGUAAUUCUCAUCUUCAAAAUUUAGUACUAACCUUGGAGAAACAACUCAAGGAAUAGAAUGAGCGUAUCGAGCAAAUUCCUGAAGUUCCACCUGUGAUAAAAAGAGUGGAUAUGGAUAAAUACUCGCAACAACCUUGGAAACCAAGUGCUGCUCCCCUACCAAUUCCAAAGAAAUUCAAAAUGCCUGACAUCGCAAAAUAUGAUGGUACAACGGAUCCUCGUGAUCAUGUAACUGCAUUUACAACAGGAGUGAAAGGUAGUGAUUUGACUAAACAAGAAAUUGAAUCAGUGCUAGUCAAAAAAUUUGGGGAGACAUUCACCAAGGGUGCAUUAAUCUGGUAUUCUCUUUUACCUGAAAAUUCUAUAAAUUCUUUUGCUGAGCUUCCAGAUUCUUUUAUUAAAGCGCACUCGGGAGCUCAGAAGGUUGAAAAAAGAAUGGAGGAUAUCUUCAAAAUCAAGCAAGAGAACUCUGAAUUGGUCAGAGAUUUCAUUGAUAGAUUUCAACGUGAAAGAAUGACGUUGCCCCGUGUAUCGGAUGAUUGGGCAGCGAUAGCUUUUGCAAGUAAUUUGAAUGACAAAAGUUCAGAAGCCACGAGAAAGCUUAAAGAAAGCCUUCGUGAAUUUCCCGCAACUACUUGGAAUGAUGUUUAUAACAGGUAUAGUACGAAGCUCAGAAUUGAGGAAGAUACCGUAAUUCAAUCUCAUCAUGAAAAAAGGAGCGGGUCUAGAAUAUCUGAAGCCGAAAAAAGGUCAGGUAAGAACAAGUACGAUCCAUAUAUGGGACCUACAGGAAAGGACCCACGAUCUAGACAGAACAAUCAACAUUAUGAUCAUAGGUCAAGAGAUAGGGGAACUGGAUCUUCAUCCAGGUUCAAAGGCGAUCGAAACAACCAAGAGCCACGAGAUGAUGAUAGGAAUUUAAUGGCACGAUUUGCUGGUCAUAGUUUUAAUGUAACUAAUUUCGAGCUCGUAGCUAUUCUAAGGAGUAUGGGCGAUAAGCUACAGUGGCCAAAAGUGAUGCGAUCGAAUCUAAACAGACGUAAUCCAGACCAAUGGUGCGAAUUUCACAACGACCACGGACAUAUAACAUCAUAAUGCAGAUUUCUACAAAGUGAAGUAGAUCAUCUAUUUAAGCAAGGAUACCUCAUGGAGCUGUUUAGUGAAAACGGAAAUCAACCCUAGAUGAAAAAUAGGCAUGAGCCACUGAAACCACCCUCACCUAAGAGAACAGUGAAUGUCAUCAGUAGAGGGGAAGAUACAUGCGGAGUAACAUACACGGCUUCAAACAAAGUUUCCAAAAUGACGAUCACACACGACAAGCGAUUACGGAAAACCUUAGAACAUGAGAGCAUAAACUUCGAUGAUGUAGAUACGGAAGGAGUGAUUACACCUCAUAACGACGCUCUGGUAAUAUCUUUAGUUAUACAUGACACUAAUGUAAAACGAGCUUUGAUUGAUCCAGGAAGUUCUGUAAAUAUCAUUCUACUAAGAGUACUGCGGGAAAUGCAAGCUGGAGAUAAAAUGAUACCUAAGGCGCAUGCUUUGUAAGGCUUCGACAAUUCAAGCGUGGUAACAAAAGGCGAGGUAACUCUAAUGACUUAUGCUGAAGGUGUUAUUAAAGAAACUAAAUUUCAGGUAGUUGAUAUGGAAAUGGCAUACAAUAUAAUUAUNNNNNNNNNNNNNNNNNNNNNNNNNNNNNNNNNNNNNNNNNNNNNNNNNNNNNGGAAAUGGCAUACAAUAUAAUUAUGGGGUGACCAUGGAUCUAUGAUAUGGAUGCUGUUCCGUCAACCUUACAUCAAGUUAUUAAAUUUUUAUCACCCUGGGGAAUAUGUUAAAUUCGAGGGGAUCAACAAACAGCCAAGAGCAUCAACGUAGUAACUGAUACGAGUACCGCGCGUAAAGAGAAAUAACAAUUACUGGAAACAGUUGAAGGUGUCAGCAACCAAACUUCAACUGAAAAAACGAAUUUAGAUUCAAGACCUGAUGUAUUUCAAGAACCUGAAGAAAAUGAGAACAUCAAAACGACAAUAGAGGAACUUGAGGUUGUGGUGUUAUUUGAACAAUGGCCAGAGAGAAGUUUACGUGGGGGACAAUACAGAUCCCAACAUGUGAGGUAUUUUAAUUGAACUUUUAAAAACUAACGUAGAUUGUUUUGCCUGGUCCCACGCUGAUAUGACAGGUAUUCCACCAGAUGUGAUGACUCAUAAACUUAAUGAAAACCCAUCUUUUACUCCAAUUAAGCAAAAGAAAAGAAAGCAAGGAGCUUUCAAAAAUCAAGUAAUCCAGGAUGAGGUCCAAAAGUUGUUGAAAAUCGGGUCAAUUUGCGAGGUAAAAACCCUGAUUGGUUAGCUAACACGGUGGCCGUACCAAAAAAGAACGGUAAGUGGCGAGUUUGUGUAUAUUAUUCUGAUUUAAAUAAAGCAUGUCCAAAAGAUUCAUUCCCUUUACCUCAUAUAGAUCAGUUGAUUGACGCAACAGCUAGUCAUGAACUUUUAAGGUUUUUAGAUGCAUAUUCGGGGUACAAUCAAAUUAAAACGGCCCCAGUAAUGAGGAAAAAACUUCUUUCAUCACUGACCGAGGGACUUACUGUUAUAAAGUAAUGCCCUUUGGUCUAAAGAAUGCAGGUGCAACCUAUCAAAGGUUAGUCACCAAAAUGUUUCAAGAAUAUUUGGGGAAAACUAUGGAGGUAUAUAUUGACUACAUGCUCUUCAAAACCUUACGUUCAAAUGUUUCAAGAACAUCUGGGGAAAACUAUGGAGGUAUAUACAGAUGACAUGCUCGUCAAAACCUUACGUUCUCAUGAUCAUAUCUCUCAUUUGACAAUUACAUUUGAAAUUUUACGGAAAUUCAAUAUGAACCUUAACCCUGAAAAAUGUGCAUUUGGAGUUGCUUCAGGUAAGUUUGUAGGUUUUAUUGUUUCUAACCAUGACAUUUAGGUAAAUCCUUCUAAGAUUAAAGCAAUUGAAGAAAUACCUGACAUCCUAACCAAUCAAAAGGAGGUUCAAAGAUUAACUGGAAGGAUAGCGGCCCUAGGGAGAUUUAUUUCUAAAUCUUCAGAAAAGUGCUUCAAAUUUUUCUCUGCGCUUAAAAAGCAAGAUCAUUUUGAGUGGAAUGAAGAUUGCCAACAAGCCCUUAAAAAGUGCUUCAAAUUUUUCUCUGCUCUUAAAAAGCAAGAUCAUUUCGAGGGAAAUGAAGAUUUCCGACAAGCCCUUAAAGAUUUGAAAGUUUAUUUGUCAAAUCUUCCUCUACUGGCAAAACCUAAGGAAGGUGAAAAACUGCUCAUUUAUUUAGCAGUUUCAGAAGUAGCAGUAAGUGCCGUCUUAGUCCGUGAGGUCCAAGGUAAGCAAUAUCCAAUUUAUUAUGUAAGUAAAACUCUAUUAGAUUCAGAGACAAGGUAUAUGCAACUAGAAAAGUUAGCAUUAGCUCUCAUCAUGGCAUCUAGAAAAUUACGGCCAUAUUUCCAAAGCCAUCCUAUUGUUGUUGUUACUGCUUUUCCAUUACAAAAUAUCUUGCAUAAACAUGAAUUAUUAGGAAGAUUAGAAAAAUGGGCUAUAGAACUAAGUGAAUACGAAAUAAUUUACCAAUCUCGAACUGCUAUUAAAUCCCAAGUACUUGCCGAUUUCGUAAUCGAUUUUAGUCAAGGCAUGCAACUAGAAGCAGAAAAAGAGUUACAAGUUUUUAAUGGUGUAAAUACACUUGGAUAUUAUUUACUGAUGGUUCAUAUAAUGUAAAGGGGGCAGGCUUAGGAAUUGUUCUUAUACCACCUACAUGUGAAGCAAUUAGACAAGCUAUAAAAUGUCACCCUGUAACUAAUAAUGAAGCAGAGUAUAAAGUUGUGCUUGCAGGUAGAGCUAGCAUUAGAACUUGGCAUCAUGCAAUUCAUAAUCAAUAGUGAUUCAUAGCUCGUAGUAAAUCAAAUACUGGGGACUUAUAUGGCCAGAGAAACUUGAAUACAAGAGUAUCAUGGAAAAUACAGGAACUGAUAAGACAGUUCCAAACUUGGAAAGUGAUACAAAUUCCAAGAGAAGAGAACUUGGAAGCGGAUGCUUUAGCCAAUCUCGCGUCUGAAGCAGAAAUAGCAAAAGAUUCAAAUGUAUCAAUCAUACAUCUAUUCCACUCCGUUCUUGACUCUGAUAAAAAUGAGGUAAACUUUAAUCAUUUAACUUGGGAUUNNNNNNNNNNNNNNNNNNNNNNNNNNNNNNNNNNNNNNNNNNNNNNNNNNNNNNNNNNNNNNNNNNNNNNNNNNNNNNNNNNNNNNNNNNNNNNNNNNNNNNNNNNNNNNNNNNNNNNNNNNNNNNNNNNCUCAUGCACUUAGAAAGAAAGCUGCUCGUUAUUGCCUAUAUCAAGGGAACCUUUAUCGAAAAAUGUUUGGUGGACCAUUAGCCAGGUGUCUCAGACCAUAUCAAACAGAAUAUGUGAUGAGAGAAAUACACGAGGGACAUUUUGGAAACCAUGCGGGAGGCAGAUCACUUGUAAAGACAUUGAUUAGAGUAGGAUAUUACUGGCGUAAAAUGGAGGAAGAAGCAAAUUAUUUCGUAUCUAAGUGUGACAAAUGUCAAAGAUAUAGCAAUAACAUGCAUAGACCAGCUUAGUUACUACAUCAUGUCAUAGCUCCAUGGCCCUUCAUGAAAUGGGGAAUGGAUAUUGUAGGACCAUUACCCCAGGCAAAAGGUUCCUACUCGUGCUUACUGAUUAUUUCACUAAAUGGGUAGAAGCAGGGGCGUUUAAACAGGUACGAUUUCUACUCGUGCUUACUGAUUACUUCAUUUAUGGGUAGAAGCAGGGGCGUUUAAAGAGGUACGAGAGAAAGAAGUUAAGGAUUUCAUUUGGAGAAAUAUAAUUUGCCGCUUUGGUGUGCCAAAGGAGAUCGUCAGUGAGAAUGGACCACAAUUUAUAGGAGCUCAAGUCAUAGAAUUCUUUCAAAGUUGGCAAAUCAAAAGAAUAACGUCGACACAGUAUCAUCCAGUAGGUAAUAGGCAAGCAGAGUCCACAAACAAAGUGAUUAUCAAUAACUUAAAUAAAAGGUUACAAGAAUCAAAAGGCAAUUGGCCUGAAGUAGUACUAGCGGUAUUAUGGGCAUAUCGAACGACGGCAAAGACAAGUACAAGAGAAACACCAUUUUCAAUGGUUUAUGGUGCGGAAGCUUUGAUACCAUUUGAGAUAGGUGAGCCUAGUACACGACGUGUUCAAGCAGAGGAAGACUCAAACAAUGAAGAGUUACGAGUAAAUCUUGAUCUACUUGAAGGGAGAAGAGAAGCCGCGUUGAUAAGGAUGGCAGCUCAAAAGCAAGAAAUUGAGCGAUAUUACAAUAAAAAGGCACACCUCAGGUUCUUUAAUAUUAGGGACUUCGUGUUAAAAAAAGUGUUCCAAUCUACAAAAAUAGCUAAUUCAUGAAAGCUAAGUCCAACGUGGGAAGGACCUUAUAGAGUUCGUGAAAUUGCUGGAAAAGGAGCAUACGAGCUGGAAACAAUGGAUGGCAAGGUUUUACCAUCACAUUGGAAUGCCUUUCAUUUAAAGAGGUAUUACUUCUAUGGAAGUACCCACGGUCAGGUAUCGCCACAUUAGAAUUUUUUCUUGAAUUGUUAAAAUUAAUUCAUUUAAAGAGGUAUUACUUCUAAGGAAGUACCCAAGGUCAGGUAUCGCCAUGUUAUAAUUUUUUCUUUGAAUUGUUAAAAUUAUACUAACGAUUUUAGAUGCUGGAAAAAAACCCUAAAUCGUGCCAAAUGAUGAGUCAUGGCCUGCACGGCAAAUUGGAAUACUAUUAAAUUCCUAGCCCAGGGUUACAUUAAUCUGAUGGAAAUACACACGAGUUAGGCAGUCUUCAUCUAUAAUCGCACCUCUGAGCCCCGUAUAUUUUUCUAUUUCAGGAAAAGGACCGAAAUUGAGAGCAAACACACAAGUGUUCAAGGCUUCAUACUUCACAGCUCAAACACUUGGGGGACUAUACUAUAUACACACGAGUUUGUGCAGAAGAAUAGAUGCAAGUGAGCAAGAUUUAAAAAGUAAUAUAAAGCCGUAAGAAGUCAAGUGUCGAGCAAAAAUCACCAAGUAAAAGAAAAAAGCAUUCAUCAUAGUGUUCUUUCCCAUGAGAAUAAUGGAGUCACCUCUCAAACCCUUCCUAGUAUGUAAAUAUAGGGUCGUGACUAUGUAUUAAAAUUUCCCAUGAGAACAAUGGAGUCACCUCUCAAACCCUUCCUAGUAUGUAAAUAUAAGGUCGUGACUAUGUAUUAAAACAGGCUAUGAAAAACCUUGUUUAUUUAUAAAUCUGUUAAAAGAAAACAGUUACGAGAAAGUUGUAGAUGUACUUCAAUACAUGUAAUUCUCAAAAGAACUUGUCAAAGUUCAUGAAUAAAGACUUGUCAAAACUUAUUUCAUACGAAACAUGUAUGUUCAUAUUUUCUUUCAUCGUAUUGUAACACCAUUAUGAAGUUGAGACGUCUUCUUCAUUAAGUGUCGAUAAAUAAAAGGGUCCUCUUUUAUUUUCCUCAUGAUGAUAAUACAUGAGAAGAAUCAUAAAAGCAUUUUCUAAAAAGAUAAAAAUGCUAACCUAUCCUCUAAGUCCAAAAAUGAAAAAUAGGCAAGAAUAGGGCAAAUAGAAAACUAUUAUAUAAAGUCUAGAACAAAGUAAAAAGACAAGAAUAAAGUAAAGAAGUAUUAGUCAAAAUUUCUUAGCAUAAAAGACUAAGGGAAAACUUAGUCAAUACAAUACAAAUGUUUUUUAAAAAAGUGCCCCGUUAUAGAAACUGGGGACUUUACUAAAAAGUUAAGAGAUUACAUCCUCAAAAACAAAAAAGAGGUAAGGUCAAAUACUUUCACUGGUCACUAAGGAAAUUGGAACAUUAGAAGUUGCAGCCUCAUUAGGCUCGGUAGUAACUUCUAAGGGAGCAGCAACAUAGGCAGUCUCAGCUGAACUUGAAGUAUUAACAUUCUCGAGGGAAGCAGUAGUCACAGGAAUUUCUAUUCCCACAGACUGCGUUAUAGAUAAAUCACCCUCGAUUGCUGGAAUCAUAAAGUUCAACUACUUCAGUAGCUGCCUCAAAGCUCGAAGGCUCUUCUACCUCGGGAGUUCUAACUGUUGGAGAGGAAAUGUCAAUUAGCUGGUCAGGAGAAGGAAUUUCAAUAGGUUGGUCAUUCUUCUAAAUCAUGUCUAAAACUUUGUCUAACUCAGAUUGUAAGUUAAAAUUUUCUUGAGAAGCCUCCAUCAAAGCAUCACGACAAGACUUCAAGAAAGCCUAGUUAACCUAUUAAAAUUAUCUGCAAGAGAAUUGUAAUCCUUCUCCAAGUUCUCAUAAUUCCUUCCCCACGUAGCAAGGGUGUUCUUCAUUAUUUCUUGGUCAGCUAGGUGGGAAUCAAGGGAAGUUUGAAGAUUGGCACUGGAACUCUCCAACGCAUGAACUUUAUCUGAGGAAAUCUUCAAGUCAGCCCGAGUCUGGUUCAAGCUCUGCACUAAUUCCUUAGAAUGUUCUUCUUUUUUCUCCAUUAGUGCUUUAAGUUCCUUGAUUUCUUCAUUAGCAUUUGAUAAAGAGUUCUUCAAAAUCUCUUUAUCCUUUUUUAGUUGGCUUGUGGAAGCCGUGGAAAUUCCUAGAUCUGAGGAUAAAGCCAGAUUCUGCUACUCCAGUUGAGAUUAAUAAGAUUGUAACUCCUCAAUGUUCCCUUGGGAACCUUCAAAUUGUUCCUUCCAAUUUUAAGUCUCAAGCUGCGCUUCUUCAGCUAUUCUCUUAGCAUCUGCAUCAGCCUUUGCAGACUCACGUGCUUUCUUCUCCAAAAUGGAGAUCCUCCCCAUUAACUCGGUUCCAAUCAUGUUGGCCUAUAAACAUAAGGCAGAGAAAUAAGAAUUUAAAAUCAACGAAAAGCUAAUAGCCAAUCCAAAAGAAGUUACCUUCAGUGUCGAAUGAACUAUGUCGUUCAUUAAGGUACAACAGCUAUGGCUCUUCAUCUUUGUCCUCUCCACAUCUCCAAUGAGAGGAUCGAGCCAAACAUCAGCUCCACCAUUCUUCCUAAAAAGGCUAUGAGUAGCAGGAACUUCAAGUGUGACCUCUCUCAUAGCCAUACCUCUGUUACUGGGGCCAGAUUCUAAAUGAGUAACAGAGGAAGGAGGGAUAGUGGAAGGAGGAGUAGUAGAAGAGGUAAAAAUAGCAGGAGCUACAGAAACCAAGGAAGGAGCUGAAGGAAUAGGCACGGGAGCAAAAGAAGGAGCGGGAGUAGGAGCAUUUAAAGUAGAUGAAGGAACAACAGAAGUCGGCAAAGGGGAAGAAACACUCACGAUCGAAGGAGGAAUAAAAGAAACAUAGGAGAUAGGAAUUGAAGUAGAUAAAGGAAUUUCAUUAAGAAGAGGUACGAGUUCCCCACUUUUAAAACCACUUACAAAGAGACGGUGAACAGAUUCACUCAUGUCUCUAGGUGUCAGAUCUUCAUCGGAGUGGAUUAGAACAGGCUCGGUAGUGGAAGUAUUAGCAGAAAAGGUAUGAGCAAGAGCAUCUUCAGUUUCUUCUUCAAUAAUAACGCGUCUCCUAACUCUUGGUCUAGAUACCAAUGAGGUAUUAUCUUCUUCCUCAUUCUCAGUUUCUACUACCAUAGCUUUCCUUUUAGCUAUCAGUGCUUUAGCCCUGUCCAAACCAAGGGUAGUGUUGGCAGUAGUACCCAUAGCUAAAGCAACAUCAACGGCCAUCCCUUUUAUUCCACAGCUUUUCUCUUAGCUAUUAACGCAUUAGCCUUGUCCAAGCUAAGGGAGGUAUUGGUAGUAGUACGCAUAGCUAAAGCAACGUCAGCUGCCAUCCCUUUUAUUCCAAAUCCUGACAAAAAGAAGGAUUUAAGUUUGUUAUCAGUAUUUAUUAUAUGUAUCUUGAAAACAUACACGAAAAGAGAUAUAUACCGUGUGUUUUCACUAUCCACCCAUGUAAGGAAGAAAUAGACUUCCAAGUUCUAUCUUCCUUAGAAGUACCAAUGAGGUAUUAUCUUCUUCCUCAUUCUCAGUAUCCACUACCACAGCUUUUCUCUUAGCUAUUAACGCAUUAGCCUUGUCCAAGCUAAGGGAGGUAUUGGUAGUAGUACGCAUAGCUAAAGCAACGUCAGCUGCCAUCCCUUUUAUUCCAAAUCCUGACAAAAAGAAGGAUUUAAUUUUGUUAUAAGGGUUUAUUAUAUGUAUCCAAAAAACAUAUACAAAAAGAGAUAUAUACAGUGUAUUUUCACUAUCCACCCAUGUAAGGAAGAAAUAGACUUCCAAGUUCUAUCUUCUUUAGGAGCAACCUUCAAAAUCGAAUCUACCCAACCACGGAAGUUGGGAAUAGGCUCCACAUCUCCCAUGGUUGCUACAAAAAACCAAAAAGGGUUAAAAUUAGAGAGAAAAUCAAAACCUCAGAAAAUAGGUACGGGGAAGUAAGCAGAAACUUACGUGCGAAGUUCCACUUCUCAAGGAAGGGAAUGUUUGAUUCACGUAGCAAAUCCAUAUGAACAACAAUAUAACGAAGAUACCACCCACGGUCUUUAUCAUCAUCGGCGUUUACUAAAACUUUCUUACUUCUUGCAGUUAAGGUAAAAUCUCUAUGGCGCAGUAGGCUGGGAUGGUAUAAAUGGAUGAGAUGGGAAAAUGUAUAAUUGAAUUUCAAUUUAGUAGACAAAAAUCUCAAACAAGCUACAACCCUCCAUACUAAAGGGCCAACUUGAGCCAAGCAAAUGUUGAAAAAUCGACGGAAAUUAAAGAUAACUGGAUCUAUGGCAGGUUUGAAUCCUAAAAUGAAGGGGUAGGUGUAAACAAAAGAAAAUCCCUGUAUAUAGGAUGAAAUUCUCUGACUUAUGGAAGGAACUGAUAAACGAACACCCUCUUUCAAAUUGCAGUCUUUUCUAAUAAUAGGGACUGUGAGUUCAUUAUAAGAGAGGGGUAACGGUCAGCCUUUUCCAAUUUCGCAAUUUUCUUUUGAAGAGAUGUUCUAUCACUCGCAAAAGACAAAUCAUUCGGUAUAAUUUUUUCAACUGUGGGUUCUAGAUAAGGGUCUGAAACUUCUUUACCUUACAAAGAGGGAGUUUUUGAAGAGGAACCUUUAACACUAGAACUUAAAGAAGAAGGAGCAGAACCAGUUAAACCUCCACGUGUAGAUCGCAAACUUCAAAGUCUUCCUCCUCUGCCUCUUGUAUGUUUGAUUGGAGCAGAUACAUUAGGAAAUUGAUCGAAACGUAGAAUAUUUUUGGGGUUAGGGUUUGGAGAUGCCAUUGGUAGAUAAGCUUGAAGUGAAGAGGAGUAAAAGAAGGAAAAGGUAUGAUUGAUGAAAAUCGAUGAAGAAGAUGACAAAGGAAGUGUGAAUUAAAAUGUUAUAUGGAAAUAACCAUCAAAAUUAAAAGCUGCAAUGAUGGAAACCAUAUAUUAAAGAUAACUAUCACUUCGUAAAUAGAGAAAGUUGAACAAGCCUAGAAAAGUGGGUAAAAAAUUGCAGAUCCAAUAAGAAGAUGACACGUGUAUGGAGCAUUAAAUGAGAAAGACAGAUGGGACGUUAAUACUGUUACACGCAUUAAUUGUGAAAAAAAAUUUCUUUUAUGAAGAUACACUUCCUAGAUAUUUAAUUGAUAAAUAAAUAAGAAGUGGGGGGACUAUCUGUAUUGGGAAAAAACUGAAUUAGAAUUAAAGAUGAUGUGGCAUGACACAUGGACUGGUCAAAUAGUCAAAGCGCAAUAAAACAUUAAAAGGCACGAAAGACAACAUGCAUAAGAGGAGAAAUGAAAAUAGACACGAGAGGUAGUCUCAGAUAUGCGUCUCGUAUCUAUUUUAGUCAUUUAAUACCAACGGAUAAAAAGGGCACUGAAGACAAGAAUAUGAUGACAAAAAGUAGUGUACGUUCAUUAUUAAAUACUUGAUAUGUUAGAUAAUCAGUAUUUAAUAGCAAUGAUUGUGUAACGUCUCAUUAAAUUCUCUUUAUUAUUUAGACUAAGCCGUUACUCCUUGACAGUUCUAUAAAAGGAGGAGGUUUCAUGAUUUGUAAACACACAGAACAUUCUCAACAUCAUAUUGAAAUACUAAAUUCUUAUUGAUUUAUUUUUAUUCUUUGAAAGCCUAUUUAUUUUGGUCUCUAGAUUAUCAGUAACUCGAUUUCUUUUCUCUAAAUUCAAGCUUUGACCAAAUUAUAUUUUAUUACACCUCCUUUUUCACUAUACCCGCAAGGGCGUAAAGGAGUUUUCCAAUUAAAGGACAAUCAGAACAGGAUUUGGUUAUUAAUUAUUCAGAGUUGUCACUUGGGAGAUUUAUGGUGUCUCAAGACACUGAUUUAAAUCCCGAACCGAGGAAGAUUAUGACGCUGUUAGAGUCUGCGAACCAGAAAUCCGAGUAAGGAAUUCUGUUAACUCGGGAGAAGGUGUUAGGCAUUCCCGGUCUCCGUGGUUCUAGCACGGUCGCUUAACUGAUACAUUUGAUUUUAUCUGAUUUUAAUACAUGCUCACGUAUGUGCCUUUAUUUAUAAACCGCUUUCCAUAAUUAUUUAUUUUAAAAGAAUUGCGAGUCAUGAAAACGCGUCUCCGACCACGCCGCCAUCAAGGCACCCGUGGUCGUCAACACAUUUCGACUUCGUCGAGAUUUGGAUUUGGGUCGCAUCAAUGCGCACCCGAGUUUAAGAAGUAACUUGAUUAAAACGCGCUUAAAGGUACUAACGUAAUAUUAUUUUGGGAAAGGCCGUUAAAAUUCCCUAAAUGGACCUUCCAAAUUCUAAUAGUUUUAAAUAACCACUUAUUGAGGGCCCCACAUUUAGUCUUGUUUAGUGAGGCUCGUUUGCAUUUUGAACCCCUUUUUAGAUCAUUAUUUGUUAAUAAGAAUACGACAUCAUGAAAACGCGUUUCUAAUCCCGUCUCCAUCAAGGCACCAAUGGUCGUCAACACAUUUCGACUUCGCCAAGAUUUGGAUUUGAGUUGCAUCAAUGCACACGCGAGUUUAAGUAGGUAUUUUAAUUAAAUGCGUCUAAUGAUUCUAGUGCGUUAUUAUUUCGGGGAAGGCCGUGAAAUUCGCUAAAACGACCCUCCCAUAUUCUAAAUUAAUUCUUAUAAUCAAUCAUCGAGGGCCCCACACUUAUUUUUGUUUGGCGAGGCUCGUCUUAAAUUAUUACUAACAAUUUAUAACUUAAGUAAACCAGACUACGAUAUUUCAUGAUUUGAUUAAAUACUUUCUAACGCUUGAGCGAAUUUGCAAAUCAAUUAUGGAAAAGGUGAAUAUUGGGUAAUAAUGAAUCUACAGGUUGGCCUAACUCCAUAUCAGGAAUUGAAUUCUUAUUUUUAUAAUGUCUAAAAGCUUAGCUGAUAAUAGUAGGCAUCUUACAAAAUAAAUCACCUAACAUGAACGAACAAAAUUAAACUUUGGAUGUAACCCAGAAGCACGUCGAAGCAAACAGUAGUAUACUAUAUCCCGUUAGAAUCCCAAAAUUGCCAUAUAAUAAUAACAUGCUCAAAACACCAAGUAUUUCAUCCAAAUAAUCUGAAUAUUUAGACUAUCAUGCAUAGGAUUACAAACACAAAUUAUUCACCAAAUCUAAUUUAUUUAGACAAGAGAAAUGGAAUGAAGUAACAGUAACCUUCUAACCUCGACAACCAACGGACAGAACCUCGACCAAUGACUUAACCAACGACGAACUCGAACGGACCUUCAACCGGAAGACCUCGAACCAAAACCUCGAUCCACGACCUUCGACGACGGGUAAAGGGUGGUCAGGUGGACUGACUGGCGGCGUUGGCGAGCCGGUUGAGGGCUAGCUGGAGGUUGUUUGGAUGAGAGAAAUGGCGGGUUACUGGACGUGAAGGAGCAGAAGUUUCUGGCCAAAUCCGUGCAAGUAGCGUUGUCAUUCGCCGGUGAUCACUUCCGGCGAAGCAACAGCUCGAGUGAGGAACUGGUGAACGCCGACAUUGGUGGUUGGCGUGAGAGAAGAGAUCUCCGUUUGGUUUCCGGGGUAGUGGGGUGCGACGUGGAUGUAGUAUCAGGGGGGGUGUCUGGUGUUGAGCUGUUGAAGGUUUUAAGAAAGAUAGGUCAUUUGGUGAUGAAGCAGAACAAUGAAGAAGGGGUCCAUUUUUGGUUUAACGGCGCUCUUUUUUUGAGUGUCUGUAUAUCCCAAAAA